GGAAGUCACUGUAACAAACACGACAUAUUCAAAUCAUCAUACUUGUAAAGCAUGCCUUCAUGUCUAAACCUGCAAAUUUUUUUUAUCUUUAACAGGGGAACUGAAAUCAAUACCUCCCCCACAUUAUGCGGUUAGCUCCAAAGCUGGAUACAAUUUGAGAGAGGAGAAACAUAGAUAUCACGAUUUAGGAUGAUUUCAAGAGUACAAUAGUAUUAUGAUUGCAUGGACUCGAAGAAGGGGAGCAUGGGAGUCGGUGGUGAAUGGAUUUAGGGAGGAGAACAAAUGAUGGAAAGAUUUCGGUUUACAGGAGAAGAAACCAAGCCAGAUGAUCAGAAUAUCUUUAAGGUCACUUUUACCUGGGGAAAACUUGCAAGCUCCAAAAGCUGGGAAAUUGCAAGACUGUCUUCUUCAUUUCUGCACAAGGUAUCAAUCCAGAGAUUCAAAUAUGAAGAGUUGAAUUCUGUGAGAUGUCAUUGAAACAGCCUUCUCCGUAAUUCCACAAUAGUGAAUCAAGAUGAAGAUAAAUGGGAGGAUUACCUGGAGCAAGAAAUCGAGGUGCCCUGUUAGGGUGGGUUCUUGGCCUGGAAAGUAAGGGUAUUUUGCAGCAGCCUAGAGAGUGAAUCGAGUAAAAU